GCUCGUCCAAUCCUUUUGCUGGAUCCAAUUCAUGCACCCAGCCGUACAUCAUGGCAGUCAAUUAUCAUAGCUUCAUCUGAUCAUCAAUCACAGGAGAUGCUCGAAGUUAAGGGGCGGAGCAUUAGUCGACCCAUCGAUUGCAGGAGUUUUGUAUUUUCCCCCCCUCGUUCACGGUCCCCUGCACACAAAGGCCAAAGCGGACUAUUCCGUUUAAUAUUUGCCUUCAUCAAUAGACACGCUGCCUUUUGUGCAUGUGACAUCACAUAUCGACGGUUCCACAAAAAUGGCAAAAUACAUUGUCUACGGGAUAUUUGAUUUCCAAAAUUAAACACGAAUCACGACUUUGUCAAGGCAGACAGAAUAUGUGCACUUUAUUUUUUUUUUACGGACACUUGGCAUAAAACAAUGCAACUUUAGAGGUCAAUAAAGCAAAAAAAAAGAUGAAUGAUUAGGAGGAUGAUGAUGAUAGUGAUAACCACAGCAAUUAAGCAGUUUGAUUAAACGAGGCAUCAUAACAACAAUGAUGUUUGUGAAAACACCCCUCAUAUAAAAAGUAAGAUAGUGCAGCGGUUGAGAUACGCCAGUGGGCAUUCCAACACGCUUCUGCCUGAGUUUACCAGGGAGUAUUGACAAUGCAGGACACCGCCGAAAAUCCGCUCCCAAAAUACUUUUACGCAUUGUCCCCCCUCUCUUCUUCCCCCGAAAAGAAAAAAAAAAGACGUCCAGCUACUGAAGACCAAGCUGCCUUCCGAGACGUUCUUCAAAUAAUACUUUUCUGGUAUACUGUGCUAGCGACCUGUCCUCCUGUACAGCGUGGUAUCACGAACCGUCAAUGGAGUGUCGAGUGACAGAAGCUCAUAACAAGGAAGGAAAACGUAAAAGAAGACGAUGACAUUACGGAUCUGCAAUUAUUUUGGUGAUCUCGUUUACAAAAGGGAUAGGUUUGAGUUUUCCCGACAUUACCCACGGUUAACGCUUUCUUUAGUUUAAUUUAGAUUGUCUUUUAUUCUACGAUUAUGUGAGUGUGUCUUUAUUGCCGGUUCGGGCGUACAUUGUUUUUCCCCUGACUAUGUAAAUUUCUUCAUUUCUUCUCAGCAAAACUUUGGAGACUUCGCUUGCUCGGGUAAAGAGGUAAGACACGGCAGUGAACCCAAACAUUUGCAUUUUGUGGCUAUUUCAAUCAGUCACUUUAUUCCAGAACCAUGUUACCUAAAUCGCUAAAAUAGUAGAGUUAUAGCUUGCUUAGUUUUUUAAAGAAUCAUAAACCUCAUUUUAUUCCACCCAAAAUAGGGAUAGGAAAAAAGAUCGCGGGCGAUUACGUUGAACUUCUGUUGACCCCAAUGCAAAUACGGCUUUAACAAGCCCUUCUCACUGGGUCUGAUGUGAAGUCGUUACCUGCAAACGGCCGCGUAUUAAACGCAUUCCCUUAUACUGCCCCAAUCUCGGCAAAAUCAACUAAACCGAGAGAUAUGAACUUUUGUAAAGUGUUCUGCCUUGGUGGGCGAUUAGUUCAUCCGAAGGCACUUCUUUUCGACAGCCCUUUAGCGCUAUCUGGCGGGGCUGGGUGUAGUAAUCCAGUUACUAAUAUAUACUCAACUGUAUUCCCCGAAAUAUAUCAGAAAGCCUUGUAGCCGUACAAAGUUUAUUUACCAGCAGGACUGGGUCAGCGAUCGUUUUUUUAAAUGAGCAGAUUAUAUUGUACGCAUUGAAUCUAAUUCAAACACAGUUCAAUUUGAUAACGUUGCCUCCAACACGCCAAUGAUCUCAUUUCGUUUUCAUUAUCGAGAGGGUAAACUUUUCGAUGACCGUAUUACCAUGCAGCCUGGAAUGUUGAAAUGCGUGUAUUUUGCGAUCGCUGCAUUGCCUAUUCGCUGUUCUACGUACUUUUAUCUUCGCCUCACCUCCCAAAGUAAUUGAUUUCAAAAUUAAUACAUUUUUUUGUUUUGGGAGCUAAGGGCGGUAAUUCUAAAUUGUCAGAACUGAUUGCCGAUAUUAUCUUUCCUCCUUAAGUGCAUUUUAAAAGAUAUCACACAUAAAGACUAAUUAUUUUGAUCGCACAAUGCCUGACUGCUUGCGAGGGAGAUCAACCAUGCAUGGCUGAAAAUUUGGAGGUCACUUUUGCGAGAACUUUUAAAUCGCUAUCGCUGUUGUGGAAAUGAUAACACCACAAUACUUCGCCCACACAAUGCUCCUUCCGCACGCGAAUCGCGCAUGAAAGCAUUUUAAAGAAUCGUUACCUGUUUCGUGAAGAGUGUUAAUUUCUUUGCCGGGGGGGGGGGGGGGGGGGGGGUUAGACGAAACGUAUUAAGGGUAUUUAGCUGAAUUUUUUUUUCUUUACUUGGCUGAAUGUUUACAAUCAUUCAUUCGGUAAUAUAUAAACCCCUUCCAGUUUACGUGUUGUUUAUUUAUCACUCGCAAGACAAGCGGUAUUUCUUUUUAGCAAUGUUUUACAUUAACCGAAUAAUGGAAAAAACAAAACAGGCCGAUUUAGGUAGUUAUUUUGGAUGUUAAUAGACUAUGCUUCUCUGCUUCUUAAACACAAGCUUGUCGUGUUUAUAAGUAGUGGGAUCAUUUAAUGAGUGUCAUUAAAGCGUGUUUCCAUUGCAAUUAUCCCUGGAUUAGAACCACCAAACCAGGUUAAUUUGCAAAAAAGCAAUUAGUGCCGACUGUAACAAAGCAACGAGCAAAUCUUUAUGGACUUUUUGUAAUAGUCUUGCGAUAAAUUCCGCCCUUUCCCUAUCUUGUGCAUAUAGCCCUUUUAAUCUUGUACAAAAAGGAACGCUAAUUUAGUUUCAUACAAUGCUUAACAUUAACAUAUUACAGCAGCUGGUUUGUGAUUUUCCCUUCUUUCUGUGGCGCGAACGCGUAUGUUUUAUGUUCUUAUCUUCAAUAAAGCUAUUUUAACCGAU